GAUGAACGCUGGCGGCGUGCCUAAUACAUGCAAGUCGAGCGAACAGACGAGGAUCUUGCUCCUCUGACGUUAGCGGCGGACGGGUGAUUAACACGUGGAUAACCGACCUAUAAGACUAGGAUAACUUCGGGAAACCUGAGCUAAUACCGGACAAUAUAUUGAAACGGAUGGUUCAAUAGAGAAAGACGGUUUUGCUGUCACUUAUAGAUGGUACCGGGCCGCAUUAGCUAGUUGGUAAGGUAACGGCUUACCAAGGCAACGAUGCGUAGCUGACCUGAGAGGGUGAUCGGCCACACUGGAACUGAGACACGGUCCAGACUCCUACGGGAGGCAGCAGUAGGGAAUCUUCCGCAAUGGGCGAAAGCCUGAUGGAGCCACGCCGCGUGUGUGAAGAAGGUCUUCGGAUCGUAAAGCACUUUUAUUUGGGAGGAAGAGAAGUAAAUGAAACCCUGCAUGUCUUGACGUUACCUAAAGAGAAAGCCACGGCUAACUACGUG
rnacentral:rRNA from 1 species